rnacentral:lncRNA from 1 species
UAGUUACGGUUUGUUAUUAUUGCAUGCGACUGUAUUUAUGUUUCUUAUGUUUACAUAAUUAUUUACGUUAUUUCUGCGGGAUUUACUAAUGCUCUAUUAUUUUGUUUUGUCUUGUUUUUGUUUCUAAUUUCGUCUUUGUUUUUGUUUUUGUUUUUGUUUUAAUGCAGCUUUCAUUUUAUCCUAUGCGCCGAGGGUCGAAUGGAAACAGCCUCUCUACUCUUUCGGGUAGGGGUAAGGCUCGUCUACAUAUUACCCUCCCCAGACCCCACCUGGUGGGAGUAUACUGGG